AGCAUUAUGUCAAAGCUAAGAACUAAGCACAGGAACUACUCUGUUGUUGGCUGCAUAGACCAGCACAAAGUCUUUAUCUGAGGAAGCGAAGACCCGGUGGAUUCACUUUAUUUUGAAUGGAAAUGUGAUAAAAAUGUCCCCUCAACAACUGGAAAACUGGAAUGUGUGCGCGCAUUUUACUGCUUUCUCAAUGAGGGCUGGUAACGGUUCAAGCUCAAGGAUGGAUCGAUAUCGAUUGUCCGUGACCCAACUUCAAACUUGGAAGCUAUCAUCUGAGUGACCUGAUGAAGCUCAGGUGUUCCUGGACCCAUCAGAGGAGGAAGUUAUUGCUUGGCAGGUGUUGUGCUUCAGUCAAGCGACGACCUGAAGACAACACAGUGGUCAACAGCUUCAGGAAGUCAGAGUAUCCACAGGAAGACACAUCAGAAUGACCACUGUGACCUGAGAGCUCCAUUACCAGCUGACACAAGAAACCCUCUACCUCGAUGGAGGACAUUAUCUGGACAGUUUACAUAAAAGUCAUGGCUUUGCUACUUUAAUUUAGGAGGGUUAAAAAAAUAAAAAAUAAAAUAUACAGAGAGACUGUGACCAAAAUACAUACAACACUGACUACGAAGACGUGAAAGUUUUGCUAGCAAUCACUUACUACAGGUCGUAAAUAAUGUAUGUAAGCAACAAGACAUUCCUGUUUCACAGUCAAACUUUAUUAUUGUGUUGACAGAUCACAAUACAUGCUGUACACAAUUCUCUACAGUAUUUUAAAAGGGUAUCAAACAGAAUUCGCAUCUCUGACAAACAUUUUAAAGCAUAAAUAUGGCAAUAAUUGUCUGACAAAUAAAAACUUCAAGUGAAAAGAUCCAAGUUACUCUGAAACAUGGACAGUACAGUCCUCACAGUAGCUGCAGAUACUUUGAUCACUGAGCAGUUUGUCAGCUACAUCAGCAAGUUACUUUAUAACAUCAGUAAUUCCUUUAGUUAUGUUGACAUGGUAACUUACAGGAUAAAGUCUAUUCCAUGCAGGUUGCUGGCUCAUUAUGGUGUCACUAGUCUGAUGAAACUAAUGUGUAGUCAGUAUAACACAUGGGGACACUGGCUACAGUAUUUACUAUACUAAUGAUUAAUUUAGUGGGUUUAUUAGUUGCCUGUUAACCAGAAAUAAUUGCUUGACUAAAUGUUUCACAUCGUACUUUCUACCCCCACCCUGGUAAUUGCUGUAAGUGUUUACAUUACAUACUAUGCUACAUGCACAUGCUAACAACUAAUAUUUUCUACUUCACUGGGCUCUGUAGGUCACUACUACUACUCCUGUUUUCCCCGUCUAUCAAACACAU